UCUGAAUUGAAACGGACUCCUCAGCCUUAGCAAGGGCUUCCUCUCGAUGGCCAGUGUCAUACAAAAUCCAUCCUUCAUAGACAAGCCUUUCAUGCUUAGAAGUAGAACAAUUUCUAGCCAACCGUAGACAACGCAUCGCAGCCUUUUGGCAAUUUAACCGUAAAAGCAGAAGGGAUUGCCGAAAACAUAGAAGGCUCUUCCCAGGGUCAUUUGCCAGCAUAUGG
rnacentral:misc_RNA from 1 species